rnacentral:rRNA from 1 species
AGAGUUUGAUCCUGGCUCAGAGCGAACGCUGGCGGCAGGCCUAAAACAUGCAAGUCGAACGGACCCUUCGGGGUUAGUGGCGGACGGGUGAGUAACACGUGGGAACGUGCCUUUUGGUUCAGAACAACUCAGGGAAACUUGAGCUAAUACUGAAUAAGCCCUACGGGGGAAAGAUUUAUCGCCAUUAGAGCGGCCCGCGUUGGAUUAGCUAGUUGGUGAGGUAAAGGCUCACCAAGGCUACGAUCCAUAGCUGGUCUGAGAGGAUGAUCAGCCACACUGGGACUGAGACACGGCCCAGACUCCUACGGGAGGCAGCAGUUAGGAAUCUUGCGCAAUGGGCGAAAGCCUGACGCAGCCAUGCCGCGUGAAUGAUGAAGGUCUUAGGAUUG